rnacentral:tRNA from 1 species
GGCUUUAUAUUCAUGUAAUGAUUAUAGAAUGCAAUUCUAUAGGAGUAAUAUUAGUUACUAAGGCUU